rnacentral:miRNA from 1 species
CCAGUUCUACGCUGCAUGCC